UUCCAUAUCAUAUUGGUCUUCAAUAUGGUAUCAAGCCAGAGUCUCCGACAGCAGGAUCAACAGUCGUGACUUCAUUCAGGAUCUCCGCCCUCGAAGAUGAGAAUACUUCCAGGAGUGCUUUGGGACAAGGAUGCAAAGUUGGCUGAAGAAAAAUUCCAGAUAUGCAUAGUGGCCAGACUCGGGUAGAAUAUAUUAUAUGCAAUCUUGAAACAUGAUAAGAUACAAAGUCAGAUGCUCUCUUUUGGAUGCAUAAAACAACAAACCCUUUGUGUCAGGUGCAUAUUCAGAUCACUUUUCAAAAGUGUUAAGCAAUGAUUAUGUCAAAAAUCGAGUUCUUCUAUUGGCAGUAUCACUCACAUAUGCUUCCAUUGUGGUUCCUACAAGACAUGGCCUCUUUGACUAAAUUCUACCAUGUCCUGUUCUGUAGAGAUCUUUGUAUGACUUAGAUUGGCUUUCCAAUAGUUGUAAUUCCAUUCUUUGAAUAACUGC